AGUACGGUCGCAAGAUUAAAACUCAAAGGAAUUGACGGGGACCCGCACAAGCGGUGGAUGAUGUGGAUUAAUUCGAUGCAACGCGAAAAACCUUACCUACCCUUGACAUGUCACUAACGAAGUAGAGAUACAUUAGGUGCUCGUAAGAGAAAGUGAACACAGGUGCUGCAUGGCUGUCGUCAGCUCGUGUCGUGAGAUGUUGGGUUAAGUCCCGCAACGAGCGCAACCCUUGUCUUUAGUUGCUACGCAAGAGCACUCUAAAGAGACUGCCGGUGACAAACCGGAGGAAGGUGGGGAUGACGUCAAGUCCUCAUGGCCCUUAUGGGUAGGGCUUCACACGUCAUACAAUGGUGCAUACAGAGGGUUGCCAACCCGCGAGGGGGAGCUAAUCUCAGAAAAUGCAUCGUAGUCCGGAUCGUAGUCUGCAACUCGACUACGUGAAGCUGGAAUCGCUAGUAAUCGCGGAUCAGAAUGUCGCGGUGAAUACGUUCCCGGGUCUUGUACACACCGCCCGUCAUACCAUGGGAGUGGGUUUUGCCAGAAGCCGUUAGCCUAACCGCAAGGGGGGCGACUGCCACGGCAGGGUUCAUGACUGGGGUA
rnacentral:rRNA from 1 species